GGAGGUCCGAACCCACGAGCGUUGAAAAGCUCGGGGAUGACUUGUGGGUAGCGGUGAAAUUCCAAUCGAGCCCGGAGAUAGCUGGUUCUCCCCGAAAUAGCUUUAGGGCUAGCCUCAAGGUGAGAGAUACGGAGGUAGAGCACUGAAUGUCCUAGGGGGUAUUGCACCUACCGAAGACUAUCAAACUCCGAAUGCCGUCAUCUUAUACUUGGGAGUCAGACUGUGGGUGAUAAGAUUCAUAGUCGAAAGGGCAACAGCCCAGAUCGUCAGCUAAGGUCCCUAAAUGUAAGUUAAGUGGUAAAGGAUGUGGGAUUGCACAGACAACCAGGAUGUUGGCUUAGAAGCAGCCACUCAUUCAAAGAGUGCGUAAUAGCUCACUGGUCGAGUGAUCCUGCGCCGAAGAUUUCCGGGGCUAAAACUUACUACCGAAGCUACGGCAUCAGUAAUGAUGGGUAGGGGAGCUUCCCAUACGGGUUGAAGCAUGACCGUAAGGACAUGUGGACAGUAUGGGAGUGAGAAUGUUGGCAUGAGUAGCGAGAUGUGGGUGAGAAUCCCACAGGCCGUAAACCCAAGGUUUCCAGGGGAAGGGUCGUCCGCCCUGGGUUAGUCGGGACCUAAGCUGAGGCCGAAAGGCGUAGGUGAUGGACAACAGGUUGAUAUUCCUGUACUACCGAUAACCGUUUGAGAGAAGGGAUGACACAGUAGGAUAAGCUAAGCACACUGUUGGUUAUGUGUGCCCAAGCAUUGAGGCAGUCAAAGUAGGCAAAUCCGCUUUGAUAAUGCUGGGAUGUGAUGGGGAGCGAAAUUUAGUAGCGAAGUAGCUGAUUUCACACUGUCAAGAAAAGUCUCUAUCGAGGUUAAAGGUACCCGUACCGCAAACCGACACAGGUGGGUGAGGAGAGUAUCCUAAGGCCA
rnacentral:rRNA from 1 species